rnacentral:rRNA from 1 species
CAGCAGUAGCCGCGGUAAUACAGAGGGUGCGAGCGUUAAUCGGAUUUACUGGGCGUAAAGCGCGCGUAGGUGGUUUGUUAAGUUGGAUGUGAAAUCCCCGGGCUCAACCUGGGAACUGCAUCCAAAACUGGCAGGCUAGAGUAGGGCAGAGGGUGGUGGAAUUUCCUGUGUAGCGGUGAAAUGCGUAGAUAUAGGAAGGAACACCAGUGGCGAAGGCGACCACCUGGGCUCAUACUGACACUGAGGUGCGAAAGCGUGGGGAGCAAACAGGAUUAGAUACCCGAGUAGUCCCUGUCUCUUAUAA